CCAGGGUGCGUGAGGGGCUGGGUUGGUCCUGAAUCCUGCUCUCGAACCUGGCUCCCUCAACGGACUGCAGCCUCAGGACUCCUGGGGCAUACCCUGGGGCGACCAGCUAAGGUAGCAGGAAAGUGGCUCAUUGGCUCUGACCUGGCUGCUGGCCCCAGCACAAGGAGCCUGAGUGUGGGGACAGCUGAGCUUCCCUGAAAGCUGCUGGACAUUGACCUGGGAGAUGACGGGUGAGAAGAAACAUCUGGGACCCAGGGGAGGCUGAAUGUAUUUCAAUUGUGACCUUGGAAGCUGCUCAAUUCAGAGCAAGCCUGGAACAAUAGCCUGCAAGGGUGCAGCAAGGGGGGCACGCUGCUAUUAUUUACCAGACAACAAGGAUUUAGCUAAGCUUCGUGGAAUUUCGCAGUUACUGACACACAUCAGACGCGGGCAGAGCAAUGAUGGAAAUAAUGUGAAGGCAAACUGCUCCGUUCCAGCCAAAAAGACUAAUGGAAGUAGUAAAAAUAGUAAAGACAUGAAAGCAGAAACCACUGAAAUAAAUAUCUGAGAGGGGAACUCGCCGUAAAGCUUUGCUUCAGCCGCAGAUACACCUAGCUGAGUGUCAUCUGGGGUUAAUUUGCAAGGUGACAGAUGUCUCAAAUGGGCAAAUGCUGGAGAAGAAAGCUGGCAUCCCUGGGCCAGGUCUGCUUGUGGAACCGAGCUGCCCUAGGUGUCCUUGGAGCAGCACUGACUUGCUGCAGCUGUGGCUUUGGCGCUCGUGUUCAAGGGCGAUUAUGCAAUGCUACACACCUCUGGGUUGUCAGUCUUUGGCAACGGAAAAAGCCUCACCCCCCUCCUGGCAGCACAAAUAUGAUGUUGGUUGACUGACCCUAUACUGCUUGAUCUGCUUCACCCACUUCAGCUGAUCUUGUCUCAUUUCUGGCUCUACCUUUGAACCCAACUUUCCCUUGGUCGGCUGUAACCUCUCAGUAGGCUUCUCAGUGCUCCUGCCAGUCACCAUGCCCAGGCCUCUGUGGUCCCCCCAGGCUGCUUGUAAACACUCACCCAUGCUAUUCUGAGAUGUGACUCAACUAUUUCAUUGCUGUGGCUGGAAGAGUCUCAAGGACGUUCCUGGUUGUUGUAGAACCCACACACAAGGACAGAGCUGCAAAAUGUCCCCCACACCCUUUGACUCUCAAUUUGCAGGAGGUAAAUGGCUGCUGUUACCAUUUUGUAGAUAAAACCUACUGGGUGGCAGAUAUUAAGUGUUUGGCUCAAGGUCACAGCAUGUAUCUUUGAAGUCACUUGAUAAACACUUCACCCUCAGCAAAGGAUGUGCUUUGGGCUGUGAUCUUAUCCUAUAACACAACCUGAGAUAUAUAUUCCUCCUCUUUCAUUCUAGUGCAGCGGUAUAGUAUAUGUUGCUCACACUUAAUAAGUGGAAGAUCAUUAACUUUGCCUUCUUUAUUCCUAAUGAGUUCAUUGCUGCAGAAGCAGGAGUGAAAUAUGAGCUACUACCACAAUUUCUUUGCAAUUUAGUGUUAAUUAAUGUCCACUUCUUACACAGUGUUAACAAUAACAUCCCUAACCUUCCAGAGGCCGCUGUGGGAAAUUCUUUGUUCUUUUCUGUCUGGCAAGAAGUGAGAUUUGUUUUUUAACCUUUCAUUUAAAGCUUGCCUCUUAAGGGUUUCAAAGUAGUGCAGGAGAGUUGAACACAGCAUCCUUGUUGUCCAACUCUGCCACGUAAUUUGGAUUCCAGUCAAUCUACCUGCAGGGUAAGUAGAGUUUCUUCGUGUCUGCCAGUCAGUGCAGGGAAAGGCACCUCAUUUCCACAGAGACCAUGAUCAGCUUUUUGUUAGAACAGGUCUGUCAGCCCUCAUUCCACUUCUCCCAGCAGAACUUCAGUUAAACACAUGGUGUCACUUGCUACCACUGAGACUCUUUGCCUCCUUUUGCGUGGGCUGGACUCCUGGGUCUGUAAGGUGCUUUUUGACCUCUGUCCAUUGCAAUAACAAUGCACAGGUUUUGGUUUUUUGGUUUUUUUUUUUGGUUUUUUUUUUUUUUUUGGGUCUGUUUUCUGGUUUUUGGAUCUCUGGAGGACAAGGCAUGCAAUAUGGCCAAACUGGCCAGCCAGUGGUAAAAAUAUAUGCUGAAAUCAA